UUAACUGAAGAGUUUGAUCAUGGCUCAGAUUGAACGCUGGCGGCAGGCUUAACACAUGCAAGUCGAGCGGGGGAAGGUAGCUUGCUACCGGACCUAGCGGCGGACGGGUGAGUA
rnacentral:rRNA from 1 species